GACGAACGCUGGCGGCGUGCUUAACACAUGCAAGUCGAACGAUGAAGCCGGAGCUUGCUCUGGUGAAUUAGUGGCGAACGGGUGAGUAACACGUGAGUAACCUGCCCUUGACUCUGGGAUAACUGCUAGAAAUGGUAGCUAAUACCGGAUACGACCCUCGGAGGCAUCUCCAGGGGGUGGAAAGAAUUUCGGUCAAGGAUGGGCCCGCGGCCUAUCAGCUAGUUGGUGAGGUAAAGGCUCACCAAGGCGACGACGGGUAGCCGGCCUGAGAGGGUGACCGGCCACACUGGGACUGAGACACGGCCCAGACUCCUACGGGAGGCAGCAGUGGGGAAUAUUGCACAAUGGGCGCAAGCCUGAUGCAGCAACGCCGCGUGAGGGAUGACGGCCUUCGGGUUGUAAACCUCUUUUAGCAGGGAAGAAGCGAAAGUGACGGUACCUGCAGAAAAAGCACCGGCUAACUACGUGCCAGCCGCCGCGGUAA
rnacentral:rRNA from 1 species